AUUAGAUUAGAAGUUUAGGUAUCUAAUUAGAUUAAGUUAACUCAUCUUAAUUUGGGUCUAGACUAAUUGGGUUUGGAUGAAACCUAAUUAAGACACAAAGAACCAAAAUCCUAGAGUCCAAAUUAGUUGGACUUCCUCCCUUGCGCCACAUCUCUUUUCCAUACUGCUUCUCAUCGCACAAAAUGAGUUUUUGUAUGAGAGAAAUUCCAGCAAGAGCCCCUUGUUGUUGCCCACUGUGGAUAAGGAAGAGUUGGUUUUAAUUUGAAUUCAAAGGGGUUUGAAUUCAAAACCCUAAUCCUCAUCCUGUUUAACCCUUGCCGACCUCCAUGUGAUGGAUUUUCUUUUGUGUGACAAUAAGAAAGAGCUCCCAACCUUUAUUCCAUGCUAAUUCCCUAUAGUUCGGCCCUUCUUUGGAUGGGAACAAAAGUGGA
rnacentral:lncRNA from 1 species